UACGGGAGGCAGCAGUGGGGAAUAUUGCACAAUGGGGGAAACCCUGAUGCAGCGACGCCGCGUGAGUGAAGAAGUACUUCGGUACGUAAAGCUCUAUCAGCAGGGAAGAAAACGACGGUACCUGACUAAGAAGCCCCGGCUAACUACGUGCCAGCAGCCGCGGUAAU
rnacentral:rRNA from 1 species